AACGAACGCUGGCGGCAGGCCUAACACAUGCAAGUCGAGCGCGCCCUUCGGGGUGAGCGGCGGACGUGUGAGUAACGCGUGGGAACGUGCCCUUUUCUACGGAAUAGCCUCGGGAAACUGAGAGUAAUACCGUAUACGCCCUUUGGGGGAAAGAUUUAUCGGAAAAGGAUCGGCCCGCGUUGGAUUAGGUAGUUGGUGUGGUAAUGGCCUACCAAGCCGACGAUCCAUAGCUGGUUUGAGAGGAUGAUCAGCCACACUGGGACUGAGACACGGCCCAGACUCCUACGGGAGGCAGCAGUGGGGAAUCUUAGACAAUGGGGGCAACCCUGAUCUAGCCAUGCCGCGUGAGUGAUGAAGGCCUUAGGGUUGUAAAGCUCUUUCAGCUGGGAAGAUAAUGACGGUACCAGCAGAAGAAGCCCCGGCUAACUCCGUG
rnacentral:rRNA from 1 species